UAAAAGUCGUAACAAGGUUUCCGUAGGUGAACCUGCGGAAGGAUCAUUAAUAAAUUUUUUUUUUGAAAUAAAAAAAAUAAUAAUCAUCCUACCCUUUGUGAAUUUGUUUUGUUGAAUAAUUUUUUAAAAUUAUUUAUUGUCUAUCCAAGUUGGAAAGUUGUAAAAGACUCGACGAAGACUUGGACGGCAUAAAUAAAUUUAAAAACUUUUUUCUAAAAUUAAACUUUUGUAUUCAUUUGUCUAAAAUAAUUUUUAUAAUAUAUAGAAACAACUUUUGACAAUGGAUCUCUUGGUUCUCGCAACGAUGAAGAACGCAGCAAAAUGCGAUAAGUAAUGUGAAUUGCAGAAUACGUGAAUCAUCGAAUCUUCGAACGCAUAUUGCACUUUUUUAGUUUACUAAAAAAGUAUGUCUGUUUGAGUAUCAGUAAAAUAUUCUCAUAAAAUUUUUUAAUUUUAUGGUUAUGAGUGUUUUACAACGAUAAACAAGUUGUUUCACUUUAAUUGAAUUUUUUUGAAGAAAUUCUUUAAUUCAAAUUAAAUUUGGAUAAAAUUUUCCCGUAAAAGGAAUAACUAUACAAGUUUAAUAAGAAUUUAGUGAUUUCUUUUAUGAAAAGGAAAUUUAUUAAAUAACUUGAUCUCAAUCAGAUAAGAGUACCCGCUGAACUUAAGCAUAUCAAUAAGCGGAGGAAAAGAAACUAACAAGGAUUCCCCUAGUAACGGCGAGUGAAGCGGGAAGAGCUCAAAUUUGAAAUCUUAAAGGGUUUCCCUUUACGAAUUGUGGUUUAAAGAAGUGUUUUCUGUUGAGGUUUUGGUAAAAGUUCUUUGGAAUAGGACAUCAUAGAGGGUGAGAAUCCCGUAUUUGACCUUUACUUUCAACUUUGUGAUACACUUUCAAAGAGUCGGAUUGUUUGGGAAUGCAGUCCAAAAUGGGUGGUAAAUUUCAUCUAAAGCUAAAUAUUGGCGAGAGACCGAUAGCGAACAAGUACCGUGAGGGAAAGAUGAAAGAACUUUGAAAAGAGAGUUAAACAGUACGUGAAAUUGUCAAAAGGGAAGCGUUUGACACCAGUGUUGUUUUUCUGAAAAUCAAUUAAAGAACUGUUUAUGCCUAAGUUGUUUAGACUUUAUCAGCUAACUGUUUAGUUUUGAGCUUUCUUUAAUGCACUUUUCAGUUAACAAGUCGACAUCAAUUUCUUUUGCUGUAAAAAAGCUUGAGGAAGGUGGCUUGAGAUUCGUCUUAAGUGUUUAUAGCCUCUUGCCUAUGCAGUCGGAGAGAUUGAGGUCUGCAGCGUAGAUCCUUCGGGGCUAAAUGCAUUUGUGCUAAGUUAUAGCAUUUUAUAGACAACUUGUUGACUAUGAUUUGUCUUGUAGCUUACUCGCUUAUGUUAUUUUACCUACGCUUAGGAUGUUGAA
rnacentral:misc_RNA from 1 species